rnacentral:rRNA from 1 species
GCAUAUCAAUAAGCGGAGGAAAAGAAACCAACAGGGAUUGCUCCAGUAACGGCGAGUGAAGCGGCAACAGCUCAAAUUUGAAAUCUGGCCCCUAGGGCCCGAGUUGUAAUUUGCAGAGGAUGCUUUUGGCAAGGCGCCGCCCGAGUUCCCUGGAACGGGACGCCGCAGAGGGUGAGAGCCCCGUCUGGCUGGACGCCGAGCCUUUGUAAAGCUCCUUCGACGAGUCGAGUAGUUUGGGAAUGCUGCUCUAAAUGGGAGGUAUAUGUCUUCUAAAGCUAAAUAUUGGCCAGAGACCGAUAGCGCACAAGUAGAGUGAUCGAAAGAUGAAAAGCACUUUGAAAAGAGGGUUAAACAGUACGUGAAAUUGUUGAAAGGGAAGCGCUCAUGACCAGACUUGGGCUUGGCGGAUCAUCCGGCGUUCUCGCCGGUGCACUUCGCCUCGCCCAGGCCAGCAUCAGUUCGCCCCGGGGGACAAAAGCUUCGGGAAUGUGGCUCCUCCGGGAGUGUUAUAGCCCGUGGCACAAUACCCUGGGGCGGACUGAGGUUCGCGCGUCCGCAAGGAUGCUGGCGUAAUGGUCAUCAGCGACCCGUCUUGAACCACGGACCCA